rnacentral:rRNA from 1 species
AUUGAACGCUGGCGGCAUGCCUUACACAUGCAAGUCGAACGGCAGCACGGGAGCAAUCCUGGUGGCGAGUGGCGAACGGGUGAGUAAUAUAUCGGAACGUGCCCAGUCGUGGGGAUAACGUAGCGAAAGCUACGCUAAUACCGCAUACGAUCUAUGGAUGAAAGCGGGGGAUCGCAAGACCUCGCGCGAUUGGAGCGGCCGAUAUCAGAUUAGGUAGUUGGUGAGGUAAGGCUCACCAAGCCGACGAUCUGUAGCUGGUCUGAGAGGACGGACCAGCCACACUGGGACUGAGACACGGCCCAGACUCCUACGGGAGGCAGCAGUGGGGAAUUUUGGACAAUGGGCGCAAGCCUGAUCCAGCAAUGCCGCGU